AUAGCUUGAAGUGUUUCAGCUACUUCCAUAGAAUCACUUGCUAACUACAAUUACUUGUCUAAUGCAGCACUCCAGGAAGUGGGAUUACUGUCCUGCAAAACCUGAAAGGAAGGGCUGAGGACAAUGAGCAUCCUGACAGGUAGGCAUUCCCAGCUUCUCGGGUGCAUGAUGAUACCCCUAAGGCUGCUCAUUUUGCUGACAUUUUUCUUCCACCUUUAUCCUCAUGUGGAAGGAGCAGUGGCAUUGCCUUUGCAGACUCUCUCAUGCAAGAGGACCACACACACCAACAAGCUUUGGGGUACCAAACAGCAUAAUACUGCAGGCUUCUUUCGGAUAGCAGGCAGAAAAUGUGGCUUUAAAAGAGGAGGUCGGACAGGAAGCAGCAAAGUUCCAGGAGGAUUUCUGCGUCAAGCAGGAGAACAGCUGGCUUCUUGAAGUGUGAGCUUCAGAGAUCCUUAAAACCCUCAGCUGCACAGUUGGAGCAG
rnacentral:lncRNA from 13 species